rnacentral:rRNA from 1 species
GAUGAACGCUGGCGGCGUGCCUAAUACAUGCAAGUCGAGCGAACGGACGAGAAGCUUUCUUCUCUGAUGUUAGCGGCGGACGGGUGAGUAACACGUGGAUACCCGACCUAUAAGACUGGGAUAACUUCGGGAAACCGGAGCUAAUACCGGAUGAUAUUUUGAACCGCAUGGUUCAUAAGUGAACGCCGGUCUUGCUGUCACUUAUAGAUGGUUCCGCGCUGCAUUAGCUAGUUGGUAAGGUAACGGCCUACCAAGGCAACGAUGCAUAGCCGACCUGAGAGGGUGAUCGGCCACACUGGAACUGAGACACGGUCCAGACUCCUACGGGAGGCAGCAGUAGGGAAUCUUCCGCAAUGGGCGAAAGCCUGACGGAGCAACGCCGCGUGAGUGAUGAAGGUCUUCGGAUCGUAAAACUCUGUUAUUAGGGAAGAACAUAUGUGUAAGUAACUGUGCACAUCUUGACGGUACCUAAUCAGAAAGCCACGGCUAACUACGUG